rnacentral:rRNA from 1 species
UACGUAGGGUGCAAGCGUUAAUCGGAAUUACUGGGCGUAAAGCGUGCGCAGGCGGCUUUGCAAGACAGAUGUGAAAUCCCCGGGCUUAACCUGGGAACUGCAUUUGUGACUGCAUGGCUGGAGUGCGGCAGAGGGGGAUGGAAUUCCGCGUGUAGCAGUGAAAUGCGUAGAUAUGCGGAGGAACACCGAUGGCGAAGGCGGCAUCCUGGACCGGCAUUGACGCUGAGGCGCGAAAGCUAGGGGGAGCAAAACGGG